CAAAAUACAAGCCUAUCAUUGCACGUUCUGAUAAUAGUUCAGUUUGCAUUGACUUCCGUUAAAUUGAUAUCUUAAGCAGCCCUAUGAUCUGCGCAGGUUACUUGUAGUGAGGCAACGGUUGAUGCAAUACGCGAAUCAGGAUGACGAAGCCGACUAUUCUCUCUGCGACCAUGCUAGUUUUCUUGGUAACCGAUGGUUACUGCUGGAACGGCAAUGAGAACGCUUUGCGGUUUGAAAAUAAUCCCCACUUCACGUUCCAAGGCUGCAUACUUCGUUGUUUGGACAAAGACCUGUGUUGCUCAUGUAAGGAAUCUGCCAAACGGUCGAUGAAUGCAGCGAUGAUAAACGAUUUCAGUAAAACCUGUGCUGCCCAGACGACGAUGUGAACUGUUCUACUAGAUGGGUCGAUUCCUGGAUAAAUGUUGAACGUAGUGGAGCCAGCAACUGCACUGUACAGGGCAAUGUUGAGAAAGAACUUAACAAAUGUGUUAGAAAGUGCAAAGGAAAUCCUUUGUCGAAACCACUGGACCCUUAUCACCCCUUACAUUAUCCAGGUCAUCUCUCCGAACCUUCGGACCUUUCUAGCUACACUGAACCAGACUUCACCGAAUUUUGCAACGACAUUCGAGCGGGCGGUAUCUUAUGUACGAUCUACGGAAAGGACAGCUACACCGCAGGCAACACACUUUGUCGCACUGGGAAUGUUUGCGGUUACCAUGGUUACAAAUAUUCCUGGUGUUACGUCGAUUUUAGUAACCACUGGGACUACUGUUGCACUGGACGAUGUGGGUUUUGGAAAGGAACAAACUACAUGUGGUGUAAAGCUGGAAGUGAGUGGCAGUAUUGUGGAAAUGCUGGCACAACAGACAUCCAAGGAAGAAAAUGUCUGGCUGGGUUCCCAUGCGGGGUGCACCAGGAAGACGGGAAAGCAAAUUAUUAUUGGUGUUACGUAGACAUGAAAAAGAACUGGGAUAGAUGUUGCGAGCCAUGGGAUCCCUGCACUGCGAAAGGUGAAAUAUACAGCUGGUGCUACACUGGAUACAAGCGGAAGACGAUCUGGAAGAAGUGCAGAAAAGUCGGGGAAUGAACUAUGUUUAUCUUUUCUAGAACCUGGAUGUUCUCCGGCAAUGUUCUUACGACCAACCCUUGAUGUAUGUGUGUUCAUAUAACCAUUUUAUAGUACAGAUUGAUAUUGAUGACGUGUACAAAUGAGAUUUUCAUUAUAUUUAUUCGAUAAAAGCAACUUAUUUUCAAAAUUCAGAACAACGCAAUAUUACAAAUAUAAUAUAUGCACCUGUAUAACGUGAUGUAGCAAACUAGCAUUUCAGUUCACUGGACAUUUUAAAGGAAUUUACUGAUAGAAUAUUGAUUGUUGCACAACCGGUUUGCUCUUAUCUUAUCAAUAGGUUUAGUAGAACUAAUUAUGUAAGAUAAUUCGAGUUUGAUGGUCAGAUUCCUGAAUAGAAAAUAUAUAACGUUUUGUGCCAUAUUUUCUUACAGCAACAAUUAUAACAAGAAUCUAACUGGAUAAAUCUGUCAGCUAUGUGAGUCGCUUGACAUAGAAGACGAGUACCACUUUGUCAUUAAAUGUAAAGUAUAUGAGCAGCUACGACACCAGUUCAUAAAAUCGUAUUAUUAUAGACGCCCCAGUAUGCACAAAUUCUUGCAAUUGCUCAAGUCAGAAAAUAAAGUUGUUAUUAGAAAUCUUGCUGAAUAAUUUUUCAAGCUAAUAUGAAGAGAAGUGAAUUAUUGAAUCAUGAAGCGUAGUACGUAGUGUGCUUGUGUGUGUUAUAUGAGUUUUAUAAUUACAUGAGUCAGUAGUAAUAGCUUUUUAAUUUUUUAAUUGCUUCUAUUAAAUUUUUUACGUAAUAGUUCAUUCUCCACAUUCUAACUAUUUUAUUAUCAGUUUACAAAUUCAUUAUUUUUCUUUCCAUUGUGCUUGUUACAACAAGAGACAUUAGCUAUUUAAUUAAGUUUGUUUGUUUGUUUUGUUCGGGUUUAACGCCGUUUUUCAACAUUUUCAGACAUGUAACGGCGGGCAGUUAACCUAAUCAGUGUUCCUUGAUACUGUACCAGUACAAACCUGUUCUCCUCAAGUAAUUGCCAACUUCCCAACAUGAAUCAUAGGUGGAGGACUAAUGAUUGCAGACACAAUGUCGUUUAAAUAGUCACGGAGAACAUACCGCCGCCCGAGGAUCGAACUCGCGACGCCGCGAUCCGUAGACCGACGCUCUACCUACUGAGUUAAGCGGGCGGGUUAUUCUAUUAAGUACAAAUGUAAUGAAAGAUCAUAUAUGUAAUAGAGAAAAUAUUGUUUGUAACGACUUAUCGAUAAAACAUCUAUUUGAAAUGACCAUGUACAUUAUGAAUAUUGUAUGGAUGUUUUGUACAACGAGGUACCUGUAUAUAUGUACAAGUUGAAUAAUCUAUGUUCUGUUCUGUUCUGUUCUG